rnacentral:rRNA from 1 species
UACGUAGGGGGCGAGCGUUGUCCGGAUUCACUGGGCGUAAAGCGCACGUAGGCGGAUUGUUAAGUCAGGGGUGAAAUCCUGGAGCUCAACUCCAGAACUGCCUUUGAUACUGGCGAUCUUGAGUCCGGGAGAGGUGAGUGGAACUGCGAGUGUAGAGGUGAAAUUCGUAGAUAUUCGCAAGAACACCAGUGGCGAAGGCGGCUCACUGGCCCGGUACUGACGCUGAGGUGCGAAAGCGUGGGGAGCAAACAGG